rnacentral:tRNA from 1 species
GGAUGUAGCUCAGUGGUAGAGUGCUUGCCCAGCAUGCACAAGGUCCUGGGUUCAAUCCCCAGCACCA